rnacentral:lncRNA from 1 species
CAAAUAAAAAAAGAGCAAAACGGGACGGAAAUUUUGGGGUGGGGAGGGGGCAAAAAUGCUGCGUUAAAUUGUGUUUUAUAUAAUAAAAUUAUCUAUCUACAUAUAUAUAUAUAUAUAUAUAUACACAGCAAGAGCUGAAAUGUCCCCAGGGACGGGGGGGACACCGAGCUCGGCCCGGGGACCCCAAAGGACGCUCGAGGUGGGGCCACUUUAUUAUAAAUAUUAAUUUUAUUUUCAUUUUUUUUUCCCUUUUUUUUUUUUUUUGGUUUUGUUGGUUUUUUUUUUUUGUUGUUGGUUUUUUUUUUCUGCGUCUUUCUAUAUAAUCUAUUAAAGAGAUUCUUUAUCUUCAAGCACUCGCAAAGGUUGCAGCGGUUUUUAUGUGUUUUUUUUUCAAUUUUUGGUUGGUUUUUUUUUUUGGUGAGGAUUUUCGUGGGGGUGGGUGGGGAGGAAAAGGAGUGAGGAAAGGAAGAGAGAGAAAAAAAAAUUAAAUAUAAAGAAAUAUAUUAAAAAAAUAAAUAAAGCACAGAAAAGACAUUCCAUAGAUUGUAACUUUGAUAGUUCUUUAUAAAGUGGGGGGAGAUGAGGAAAAAAAAAAUAAAUAAAAACGAUGACAAAAAACGACAAAAAAAAAUUAAAAUAAUAAAAAUUGCACUUUGGGGGGGGGCUUUAAAAUAAAAAAAAAAGAAAAAAAAAGAGAGAAAUAAACUAUAUAUUAAAAAUACACCCGGAGCCCGCUGGAUUUCUUGGGGGAGGAGAGGAAGGAGAGCACCGGCUCUUCUUGGGGGCCCCCUAAUUUUUUGGGGGGGGGAAUUGGUGGGGUUUUAAUGAUUUUUGGGGUGGGGGUUCCUGGGAUUUGGGGGCUCCAGGGUCGCGGGGAGGGGAUUUUGGGGUGAUUUCCUCUAUUUUGGGGAUGGCCAGGGCUGCACAGGGAGACUUUUAGGGGGGUUCCCCCCGUUUUGGGGGUGUCCAGGACUGCACAGGGGAUUUUUGGGGUGUGUUCCCCCUAUUUUGGGGGUCUCCAGAACUGCACGAAGGGAUUUUUGGGGGUGUUCCCCCCAUUUUGGGGUGCCCAGGGCUGCUGCGGGGGGGCUCUGUCACAACCUGUGGCCGUGCCUCAGUUUCCCCAGAUGGACCAAACCCCCUCCCCCCUUACAGAAUAAGGGAAAAGGGGGGGGUCCCAUCCCCUGCUCAGCACCNGGAGCUGGGAUUGGGAUUUGUGUCCCUCCAACUCCGCCCUGGGCAGGGGAAUUGGGAUCUGGGCUGGGAAAUUGGGAUCUGGGCAGGACCGACCCUCUGGCAGCACUGGCUGGGAUUUUUUGGGAAUAAGGAAAGAAAAUUCGGUGUGGAUUUGGAAUUUAGGGACUGGAGGAGGAUCCCGGUUGUGCUCGGGGUUCUCUCAUCCCAGAUUUUCCCACCCUUGCUGCUGCUUUUCCUUCCCCCUUCCCAAUCCCGAGGGAAUUUUGGGAUGUUUGGGGGCUCUGGGGAAGCAGCACCGGGAGGGGGUGAGAGAAAAGGGAAAAAGGGGAAAAAAGGGGGAAAAAAAGGGGGAAAAAAAGGGGGAAAAAAAGGGGGAAAAAAAGGGGGGAAAGAUUAAAAAAAAAAAGAAGGAAAAAAGGGGGAAAGGGAAACUGGAGGGGAGAAAUAAAAGAGGGAAAAUAAGGGAAAGAAAGGGGGGG